CCUACGGGAUGCAGCAGUGGGGAAUAUUGCACAAUGGGCGAAAGCCUGAUGCAGCGACGCCGCGUGAGGGAUGACGGCCUUCGGGUUGUAAACCUCUUUCAGCAGGGACGAAGCGCAAGUGACGGUACCUGCAGAAGAAGCACCGGCUAACUACGUGCCAGCAGCCGCGGUAAUACGUAGGGUGCGAGCGUUGUCCGGAAUUAUUGGGCGUAAAGAGCUCGUAGGCGGUUUGUUGCGUCGGCUGUGAAAACUUCACGCUUAACGUGGAGCCUGCAGUCGAUACGGGCAGACUUGAGUUCGGCAGGGGAGACUGGAAUUCCUGGUGUAGCGGUGAAAUGCGCAGAUAUCAGGAGGAACACCGGUGGCGAAGGUGGGUCUCUGGGCCGAUACUGACGCUGAGGAGCGAAAGCGUGGGGAGCAAACAGGAUUAGAUACCCGUGUAGUC
rnacentral:rRNA from 1 species